AGUGAACGCUGGCGGUAGGCCUAACACAUGCAAGUCGAACGGCAGCACAUUAAGAGCUUGCUCUUACGGGUGGCGAGUGGCGGACGAGUGAGGAAUACAUCGGAAUCUACUUUUUCGUGGGGGAUAACGUAGGGAAACUUACGCUAAUACCGCAUAUGACCUACGGGUGAAAGCAGGCGAUCUUCGGACUUUGCGCGAUUGAAUGAGCCGAUGUCGGAUUUGCUAGUUGGUGGGGUAAGGGCCCACUAAGGCGACGAUCCGUAGCUGGUCUGCGAGGCUAAGCAGCCAAGCUGGAACUAGAAAGCGUACCAGACCACUGUGAGAGGCACAAGUGGGAGAUAUUGGAGAGAGGGCGCAAGCCUGAUCCAGCCACACCGGGUGGGAGAAGAAGGCCUUCGGGUUGUGAGACCCUUUUGUUGGGAAAGAAAAGCAGCAGGUUAAUACCCCGCUGUUCUGACGGUACCCAAAGAAUAAGCACCGGCUAACUUCGUG
rnacentral:rRNA from 1 species